rnacentral:other from 1 species
AUUUCCCUGCGCUGUUGGUGAUUCGCGGCGCGUGUUGAGCCAACUCAACCAAAAAGGGCGGCUGUCCCCGACGCCGAUGGGAAUUCCUCACAAGGAAUUCCCAGAUGUUGCCGGUAAGCCGCCCACCUAAUUCAUAUUAGGUUUAACAUGUCUGCGGACACGGCAGCGCGGGGAUGUU